AUGGCCAGGCACGGAUUGAGCGCAUCACAUUUGAGGAGGCGCCAUGUCAAGAGUGCAUCUUGUCAGAACAAAAGCGAAGCAACUGAAUUUUCGAACCGCACACAUAGUGCUUGGAGGGAGCAGGAAGACAUAUUUGGGGCGGUGCUAGUCAAUAAGAAAUCAAGGGGAGAUAUAGAUACCCAGAGCAGGCAGGGUGGCAAGACACAGUCUCCGGUAUGGGAGCACUUUGUCAUCUCAGAAGCUGAUGAGAACAGCAGGCCUGUGAAAGCCAAGUGUGUUCACUGUGCCUCAGAGCUCAACUGUGGACCCAAACAUGGGACGUCAGGUUUGAAACGCCAUAUUGAUAGUGCAGCUUGUACCAAGAAAAAACAAGCAGCCGACAAGCCGCUAAACACUUCAAGCAGCGCUGACAGUAUAGAAAAUGUUGAAACUGGUGUGAUUCCUGGUGACAGUAGAAUGGAUGCGGAGUCAACAUGUGGGACCAAACCUAAAACACACCUUUGGAACAAGGCUGAAUCUUUGCAUAUGAUACAAGAAAUAACUCGCCUGUUACAAGACAUAUCUGGGGUUCUGAGUAAGGUUCUCAAGUUAUAUGGAUCAGAUUUUGUUGCAAGCUCAAAUCACUAUCGAAGUACAAUAUCGGAUCAACACCUACGAACAUCAAGUGUUGUUGCAAGGAAAGUCUAUGGAAGAGUUACAGAGAAGGACUACAUCAUAAAGUUCAUGACACAAGACAAACCCGAUGGUUCAUAUCAUAUGUUCUUCCUAUUGUAG
rnacentral:rRNA from 1 species